UGGGGAAUUUUGCACAAUGGGGGAAACCCUGAUGCAGCGACGCCGCGUGAUUUAGAAGGCCUUCGGGUUGUAAAAAUCUUUUCUAUGGGAAGAAAAUGACAGUACCAUAGGAAUAAGGACCGGCUAAUUACGUGCCAGCAGCCGCGGUAAUACGUAAGGUCCGAGCGUUGUCCGGAAUCAUUGGGCGUAAAGGGUACGUAGGCGGGUAAGCAAGUUAGAAGUGAAAUCCUAUAGCUCAACUAUAGUAAGCUUUUAAAACUGCUCAUCUUGAGGUAUGGAAGGGAAAGUGGAAUUCCUAGUGUAGCGGUGAAAUGCGCAGAUAUUAGUAGGAAUACCGGUGGCGAAGGCGACUUUCUGGCCAUAACCUGACGCUGAGGUACGAAAGCGUGGGUAGCAAACAGG
rnacentral:rRNA from 1 species